rnacentral:rRNA from 1 species
AUCUACCACCAUGCUACCUUGAGCAAGCCCAAUCCCGUCUGAUCUUGGAAGCUAAGCAGGGUCAGGCCUGGUUAGUACUUGGACGGGAGACCACCUAGGAAAACCAGGUGCUAUAGGCA